rnacentral:misc_RNA from 1 species
CUUGAGCAAGAAGAACGAGACUAGCUUUCGAAACGUAGUGAUUUCAGGCUCAAAUGAGCUGGACGCAGACUCCGUUAACUCAUUGAGAUCGGAUCUGAAGAAGCAGAGCGGUGGGGUGACGUUGAAGAUUCAGUUGGACGCUAAAGUGAAAGUCAAGAUGGGUGGACUGAAAACGAAGAAGGUGGGGAUCAGGGUUACGUGUGAAGGGAUUAAAGGGGCUGUACCCAAAGGCAAGUCUCCGACGGCUGCCGUAACUACUGGUUCUAAGUGCAAAGUUGAUCUGAGAAUCAAGAUCUGG